GACGAACGCUGGCGGCGUGCCUAAUACAUGCAAGUAGAACGCUGAAGCUUGGUGCUUGCACCGAUCGGAUUAGUUGCGAACGGGUGAGUAACGCGUAGGUAACCUGCCUGGUAGCGGGGGAUAACUAUUGGAAACGAUAGCUAAUACCGCAUAAUAGUAGAUGUUGCAUGACAUUUGCUUAAAAGAUGCAAUUGCAUCACUACCAGAUGGACCUGCGUUGUAUUAGCUAGUUGGUGAGGUAACGGCUCACCAAGGCAACGAUACAUAGCCGACCUGAGAGGGUGAUCGGCCACACUGGGACUGAGACACGGCCCAGACUCCUACGGGAGGCAGCAGUAGGGAAUCUUCGGCAAUGGACGGAAGUCUGACCGAGCAACGCCGCGUGAGUGAAGAAGGUUUUCGGAUCGUAAAGCUCUGUUGUAAGAGAAGAACGAGUGUGAGAGUGGAAAGUUCACACUGUGACGGUAUCUUACCAGAAAGGGACGGCUAACUACGUG
rnacentral:rRNA from 1 species